ensembl:misc_RNA Metazoa_SRP Metazoan signal recognition particle RNA
GUCUAUAGGUAUGGUGGCAUGUACCUUUAGUCCCAAUUACUUGGGAGGCUGAGGCAGGAGGACUGCUUGAGCCCAGGAGUGCUCAGGUGUGGCAUAUUAUGCCAGCCUGGUGUCUGUAUUGUUUGGCAUUAAUAUGUGACCUCCUGGGAGGCAGGCUGCCUAAAGAGGGGUGAACAGGCCUAGGUCAGAAACGGAGCAGGCCAAAAUUCCCAUGCUGAUCAAUAGUGAAAUCAUGCUUGUGAAUAACCAUAGCACUCCAGCCUGGGCAACAUGGUGAGACCUU